UACAGAGGUGGCAAGCGUUGUUCGGAAUUACUGGGCGUAAAGGGCGCGUAGGCGGUCUGUCGCGUCGGGAGUGAAAACUCAGGGCUUAACCCUGAGCCUGCUUCCGAUACGGGCAGACUAGAGGUAUGCAGGGGAGAAUGGAAUUCCUGGUGUAGCGGUGAAAUGCGCAGAUAUCAGGAGGAACACCGGUGGCGAAGGCGGUUCUCUGGGCAUUACCUGACGCUGAGGAGCGAAAGUGUGGGGAGCGAACAGG
rnacentral:rRNA from 1 species